rnacentral:misc_RNA from 1 species
AAGUCGUAACAAGGUUUCCGUAGGUGAACCUGCGGAAGGAUCAUUAACACGUAUCCAACGUUAAACAACCCUGUGAACUUUAAGUCCCCUCUUGCAGCCCAUGAGGAACAGCAAUCCCGGUAAAUCAUUGCCAAACAGUUUUGAUUCGGGACCUCUGUCCAAAAGGAGUUGCAAUCGAAGGGUGGAAGCAGUGGCAUGGCUUCCCCAAGCAGUUAGUGAAUGACAGUGUCACUGACUGUGUAAGGAUAACGCCUCACGGUUGCUAGCAGACAUGUCACAGGGUCACCACGCCCCUUAAUCACUCCACUUGAAAAUGCCCCGCCUAGUGGUAACGCGCUAGGUAAAAAAAACCGAACAACUGUUAACAAUGGAUAUCUUGGUUCUC